rnacentral:rRNA from 1 species
GAUGAACGCUGGCGGCGUGCCUAAUACAUGCAAGUCGAGCGAAAAGAUAAGGAGCUUGCGCCUUUGACGUUAGCGGCGGACGGGUGAGUAACACGUGGGUAACCUACCUAUAAGACUGGAAAAACUCCGGGAAACCGGGGCUAAUGCCGGAUAACAUUUAGAACCGCAUGGUUCUAAAGUGAAAGAUGGUUUUGCUAUGACUUAUAGAUGGAUACGCGCCGUAUUGGCUAGUUGGUAGGUUAACGGCCUACCAAGGCAACGAUACGCAGCCGACCUGGGAGAGUGAUCGGCCUCACUCGAACGGGAACGCGGUCCAUGCUCCUGCGAGAGGCAGCAGUAUCGAAUGUUCCGCAGUGGGCGAGAGCCUUACGGAGCAACGCCGCGUGAGAGAUGAAGAUCUUCGGAUCGUAAAACUCUGUUAUUAGGGGAAAACAGAUUUGUAAGGAACUGAGCACGUCUUGACGGUACCGGGUCAAAAAGCCCCGGCUAACUACGUG